rnacentral:rRNA from 1 species
UGGGGAAUAUUGGACAAUGGGCGCAAGCCUGAUCCAGCCAUGCCGCGUGAGUGAUGACGGCCUUAGGGUUGUAAAGCUCUUUCGACGGGGACGAUAAUGACGGUACCCGUAGAAGAAGCCCCGGCUAACUUCGUGCCAGCAGCCGCGGUAAUACGAAGGGGGCUAGCGUUGUUCGGAAUCACUGGGCGUAAAGCGCACGUAGGCGGAUUGUUAAGUCGGGGGUGAAAUCCUGAGGCUCAACCUCAGAACUGCCUUCGAUACUGGCAAUCUCGAGUCCGGAAGAGGUUGGUGGAACAGCUAGUGUAGAGGUGAAAUUCGUAGAUAUUAGCUAGAACACCAGUGGCGAAGGCGGCCAACUGGUCCGGUACUGACGCUGAGGUGCGAAAGCGUGGGGAGCAAACA